rnacentral:tRNA from 1 species
CGGGGAUUGGCGCAGUUGGCUAGCGCGCAUGCAUGGGGUGCAUGAGGCCGCCGGUUCAAGUCCGGCAUCCCCGACCA